GAUGAACGCUGGCGGCGUGCCUAAUACAUGCAAGUCGAGCGAACGGACGAGAAGCUUGCUUCUCUGAUGUUAGCGGCGGACGGGUGAGUAACACGUGGAUAACCUACCUAUAAGACUGGGAUAACUUCGGGAAACCGGAGCUAAUACCGGAUAAUAUUUUGAACCGCAUGGUUCAAAAGUGAAAGACGGUCUUGCUGUCACUUAUAGAUGGAUCCGCGCUGCAUUAGCUAGUUGGUAAGGUAACGGCUUACCAAGGCAACGAUGCAUAGCCGACCUGAGAGGGUGAUCGGCCACACUGGAACUGAGACACGGUCCAGACUCCUACGGGAGGCAGCAGUAGGGAAUCUUCCGCAAUGGGCGAAAGCCUGACGGAGCAACGCCGCGUGAGUGAUGAAGGUCUUCGGAUCGUAAAACUCUGUUAUUAGGGAAGAACAUAUGUGUAAGUAACUGUGCACAUCUUGACGGUACCUAAUCAGUAAGCCACGGCUAACUACGUG
rnacentral:rRNA from 1 species